CACCCUUUGGUAUCAUUGGCCUCUAUUGUUAAGCAUUGAAAUCAAUAUUGCUUAGAUGAAAGUAGCUUACACUUGUUGAUUUUGCCUUUGAAAUAUCAGAUCUGAUAUCAACCUUAUAUUUUGAUAAGUAGUUGCUUGAUCCAGAUGCAUGCACAUAAAUCAACACCUGCAUAAGUAAAGUGUAUAUUGGUAAAAAUGAAUUAUUACUGUAAAUAUAUGUAACACAUGCAUUAUAU
rnacentral:lncRNA from 1 species